rnacentral:rRNA from 1 species
GACGAACGCUGGCGGCGUGCCUAAUACAUGCAAGUCGAACGCAGUGGGGACGGGGGAGUAACAAGUGGGUAACCUCCCAUCAGAGGGGAUAACACUUGGAAACAGGUGCUAAACCGAUACUGAUGGAUGGACCCGCGGUGCAGUCGCUAGUGGGUGAGGUAACGGCUCACAAAGGCCACGAAGCAUAGCCGACCUGAGAGGGUGAUCGGCCAGCCUGGGACUGAGACAGGGCCCAGACGCCUACGGGAUGCAGCAGUAGGGAACCUUCGGCAAUGGACGAAAGUCUGACCGAGCAACGCCGCGUGAGUGAAGAAGGUUUUCGGAUCGUAAAACUCUGUUUUUAGAGAAGCGGUAUCUAACCAGAAAGCCACGGCUAACUACGUGCCAGCAGCCGCGGUAAUUC